CUCAAAUUGAACAUUCCUGAUGAAUAUUGGUGGUGAAAGCUCUUCCUCUCUCUGAGGGCAUAAAGGCACCUUUACCACGUUUUUGCUCCCUACUGAGCCUGAAGGCAGGAGGGCAGGGGUGGUGGGGGGCAGCUGAAAACCAGCCCCGAGCUUGCAAUGGGUGCAGUCGCGCUCCUGGGUCUUCCUGAGCAUCGUGGCCUUGAUGAAAAGCGCUUGACAAAUGACUGUAGGAAGGAGCCGAGCCUGAAGACCCGGGCACAGAUGUGUUGGGAUUUACACUGCUCAGCUCCUGCCUGCCUCGCCAGAAGAAAGUCCCCACCAGGCUGGCCCGAUCCAGGCUCUGGGCCAUCUCCUAAAUCAGGCUAUCUCUCUUGGGAAGAUCAGAAGGGGGGAAUGCUCCAGGGCAAGAUGGCAUUGUGCUGUUGGGAGCAGUAAGGCAUGAAGUCUGGGAUUGCCUCCAGCCUUGGGAGCCCACAGAUGUUGGAAAUGGGCUGAGCCUGUGGGAUGGGUACCUGUGUUGCAAGAAACUCUGUGGGUGUUGGUGGUAACAGGGGUGAUGGUGCUAGGAGGGGAGGGGAAGGGAAGGUUGAAUUAAUCUCAUGUAGAAGGCCUAAUGAGGAGACAGGCUGUGCUUACUGAUGGUUUUCUGGGGUAGUCUUCCUUCAUCCUGAGUGUUAGUGCCCUGAGGACUUCCAAUCCAGGAGAAAAAGGUAAGGAGAUGGUGGAUGGACCACUCCUGUCCAACUUCGCACUAAACAUCUUGUGUGCUGGAAACAAGAAAAGCCUCAAAGUUUCUCUAGAGAUGUGUUCAGAAGACGUUUCUGGGAGAGGACUCUCUCCAGUGAUGUAACAAGCUGCAGUUUGCUUCAAACUUUAAGUAUUAUAAAUGUGGCUGAUGUAAUUCUAUUUCGAAAAGCCUUAGAGGCUUGCAAUAAUAAACAGAGCCUUUUAGUACCGGGUUAUUGAUGC
rnacentral:lncRNA from 1 species